GACACUGACCAGGCAGCGUCCAUUUCAGUUUCUCUUUUAGUCCCCAUUUUCGCUUGACACCGUUUGUAAAGAGCUUUCACCAGGGAUUUCUGCCUUGUGCACUGGUGCUUGAGUUCCCAGCAGGGACUUUCUGGCCAUCACGUUCAGGGAGACAGCAAGGCCUCCUGGAAAUUGCUGUGAAAGAAGAUCCUGGUCCUUGGUUUGUGCUGAAUAAAACUGAAGGCAUAGUGCCA